rnacentral:rRNA from 1 species
GAUGAACGCUAGCUACAGGCUUAACACAUGCAAGUCGCGGGGCAGCAUGGGGGUUGCUUGCAAUCCCCGAUGGCGACCGGCGCACGGGUGAGUAACGCGUAUCCAACCUGCCCUUCACCACGGGAUAACCCGGCGAAAGUCGGACUAAUACCGUAUGUUGUCCAUUGACGGCAUCCGAUUCGGACGAAAGGCUUGGCGGUGAAGGAUGGGGUUGCGACCGAUUAGCUGGACGGCGGGGUGACGGCCCCCUGUGGCGACGAUCGGUAGGGGUGCUGAGAGGAAGGUCCCCCACACUGGAACUGAGACACGGUCCAGACUCCUACGGGAGGCAGCAGUGAGGAAUAUUGGUCAAUGGGCGUAAGCCUGAACCAGCCAAGUAGCGUGCAGGAGGACGGCCCUAUGGGUUGUAAACUGCUUUUAUGCGGGGAUAAAGUGGCCCACGUGUGGGUUUUUGCAGGUACCGCAUGAAUAAGGACCGGCUAAUUCCGUG